CAUCACAUAAUAUAUAGCAGACUUGAUAUUUACAGGGUAUUUUUUCACAGAAAAUACAACUGAUAAUUACACAAAGCAGUCAGGGGCCUAAAUGGUAUUUGGUAAAUAGUAUGUACUUUGAUUUCUACCAAUGUUUUUACAGGACCAACUCCAUUCAUCGCAUAGCAGUCCACAACUACCAGAAAAGAUCUCACAGACAUCUCACAGAGUGUUAUCUGUGUUUACCCAGAAAUGACUGACACUCACCUGAGUCACAUUCCAGAGGAAUUAUGCAUUGGUGAAAUGAUCCAGUCAGAGCAGAAAAAUGUUCCAGGAGAACAAACAGAACAACACCAUGAAGUAAAAAACCAAGGACAAGAUACACAUACAGACAUACUCUGUUCAUCACAUACCAGUACACAAACAACAGAUGAGAUGGAUAACUUAGAGAGUAUACUCAGUAUUCACCAAGAAAUGACUGGCACUAACCUGAGGGAUGAGUAUUUAUAAACAUGUUGCAGCUCAAGAGGAGU